GACGAACCGUGCGAACGUUGUUCGGAAUCACUGGGCAUAAAGGGCGCGUAGGCGGCUUUUCAAGUCAGGGUGAAGUCCGGCAGCUCAACUGUCGAAGUGCCUUGAUACUGGGAAGCUCGAGGGAGGUAGGGGUGUGUGGAACUUCCGGUGGAGCGGUGAAAUGCGUUGAUAUCGGAAGGAACGGCCGGUGGCGAAGCGACGCACUGGACCUCUUCUGACGCUGAGGCGCGAAAGCCAGGGAGCAAACGGG
rnacentral:rRNA from 1 species